AUACUUACCUGGACGGGGUCGAUGGGUGAUCAAGAAGGCCCAUGGCCUAGGCUAGUGACCUCCAUUGCACACAGGAGGGGUGCUCGCCUAAGGUCUGUCCAAGUGGCAGAGCCUACGUCAUAAUUUGUGGCAGUGGGGGCCUGCGUUCGCGCGGCCCCUAC